GCGGUUAAAUAGGAGGGGUCCAGCCUGCCCAGUGACAAAUGUUCAACGGCCGCGGUAUCCUAACCGUGCGAAGGUAGCGUAAUCACUUGUUCUUUAAAUGAGGACUAGUAUGAAUGGCACCACGAGGGUUGCACUGUCUCCUUUCCCUAAUCAAUGAAACUAAUCUCCCCGUGAAGAAGCGGGGGUACUAAUAUAAGACGAGAAGACCCUAUGGAGCUUUAAAUUUCUCUUCAAACGCCAGACACAAACAUCUAACACUUUACAUUAACCCGACGCCUUGAAGAUGAAUUUUAGGUUGGGGUGACCAUGGAGAACAAAAUAACCUCCACGCUGAAAAGGCCUCCAAGCCUUGAGCCGAGGGCUACAACCCAACGCACUAAAAAAUUAACACCCAUUGACCCAAUAUUUUUGAUCAACGAACCAAGUUACCCUAGGGAUAACAGCGCAAUCUACUUCAAGAGUCCCUAUCGACAAGUGGGUUUACGACCUCGAUGUUGGAUCAGGGUAUCCCAGUGGUGCAGCCGCUACUAAAGGUUCGUUUGUUCAACGAUUAAAACCCUACGUGAUCUGAUUUCAGACCGGA
rnacentral:rRNA from 1 species